rnacentral:rRNA from 1 species
AGGCUUAACACAUGCAAGUCGAGCGGAGAUGAGGUGCUUGCACCUUAUCUUAGCGGCGGACGGGUGAGUAAUGCUUAGGAAUCUGCCUAUUAGUGGGGGACAACAUUCCGAAAGGAAUGCUAAUACCGCAUACGUCCUACGGGAGAAAGCAGGGGAUCUUCGGACCUUGCGCUAAUAGAUGAGCCUAAGUCGGAUUAGCUAGUUGGUGGGGUAAAGGCCUACCAAGGCGACGAUCUGUAGCGGGUCUGAGAGGAUGAUCCGCCACACUGGGACUGAGACACGGCCCAGACUCCUACGGGAGGCAGCAGUGGGGAAUAUUGGACAAUGGGGGGAACCCUGAUCCAGCCAUGCCGCGUGUGUGAAGAAGGCCUUAUGGUUGUAAAGCACUUUAAGCGAGGAGGAGGCUACCGUGACUAAUACUCAAGGAGAGUGGACGUUACUCGCAGAAUAAGCACCGGCUAACUCUGUGCCAGCAGCCGCGGUAAUACAGAGGGUGCGAGCGUUAAUCGGAUUUACUGGGCGUAAAGCGUGCGUAGGCGGCUUUUUAAGUCGGAUGUGAAAUCCCCGAGCUUAACUUGGGAAUUGCAUUCGAUACUGGGAAGCUAGAGUAUGGGAGAGGAUGGUAGAAUUCCAGGUGUAGCGGUGAAAUGCGUAGAGAUCUGGAGGAAUACCGAUGGCGAAGGCAGCCAUCUGGCCUAAUACUGACGCUGAGGUACGAAAGCAUGGGGAGCAAACAGGAUUAGAUACCCUGGUAGUCCAUGCCGUAAACGAUGUCUACUAGCCGUUGGGGGCCUUUGAGGCUUUAGUGGCGCAGCUAACGCGAUAAGUAGACCGCCUGGGGGAGUACGGUCGCAAGACUAAAAACUCAAAUGAAUUUGACGGGGGCCCGCACAAGCGGUGGAGCAUGUGGUUUAAUUUCGAUGCAACGCGAAGAACCUUACCUGGGCCCUUGACAUACUAGAAACUUUCCAGAGAUGG